ensembl:lncRNA
CAGAACAGAAGCGACAAGUAUAAGAGGAAAUCGCUGGAGUUAUUAUUGUUCAGCAAGCGUGCAACGUUGCAACAUUUGUAGUUAAAUGAUUAGCUAAGAGUCGAUGUCAAUUAAUUUUUAUAUGUUAAUAGAUGCAUCUAUAAAUGUACUUAUUGACGGUCAGGUAAAUAUUGAAAACGCCUGCACUCGUCUAUGAAGAGGGCAAAAACAUGUACACUUCCAACAUGCAUGUUAUUGCCACAGUCCCUGUCUACUCUCCAGUCCUGAAUCCACUCUGAAGAGAGAUCUUCUUCUGUCUCUCUGUCUAGUAAUCAGAGCACAGAGACAUCUUUAGGUCCACAGCUAAGAAACAAUUGCCACGUCCAUUAUCUGUGUCCUGGCUUUUGUGGGAAAUCUGUCCAUCCUAAAGACUGAGGAGACAUUUCUGCAAGGACCUGCCAUUUACAUAAAGUACUGUAAGGAUGCUAUAAAAUAAAACACGUCUCAGAUGACAUCCUGCCAUUAUUCACAAAUAACCAUUUCUUUCUACAACUAAUGAUGUUUUAUUAACAAGGUUCGGGAGGAGCACGUGACCUAAUUAGCACAGGUGGAGCUCACUUAAGAUAAUCAACACUAGGGUAUAAAUACCGCUGACUUACCCCUAUCCAUUGACGGUUUAUCAGCAUUCGGUUUGCACCUUUUGCCAUUAUAUGGCAGACUCAGCUUCUCUCAUUUAGAAGACGAGGUUUAUAUUGGGGAUUUUUCAGUUCUCUGGCCAAUCUGCCGGGCCCAGGAUCGCUCCUUCUCCGCCAGACACCGCCGCGAGCUCCGUGCUCCAUUGCGGCCGCUGCUCUGCUCGACCAG